CUCUUAAGAUUGAGCUGUGAUGGGGAGAGGAACUUGUUCCUCGAGUCGUUGAUUUCACACUGCCGAGAAAAGCCUCUAGCUAGAAUAACGGUGCCCGUACCGCAAACCGACACAGGUAGUCAAGAUGAGAAUUCUAAGGUGAGCGAGCGAACUCUCGUUAAGGAACUCGGCAAAAUGACCCCGUAACUUCGGGAGAAGGGGUGCUCUUUGAGGUUCACGCUUCGAAGAGCCGCAGUGAAUAGGCCCAAGCGACUGUUUAUCAAAAACACAGGUCUCUGCUAAACCGUAAGGUGACGUAUAGGGGCUGACGCCUGCCCGGUGCUGGAAGGUUAAGAGGAGUGGUUAGCGCAAGCGAAGCUACGAAUCGAAGCCCCAGUAAACGGCGGCCGUAACUAUAACGGUCCUAAGGUAGCGAAAUUCCUUGUCGGGUAAGUUCCGACCCGCACGAAAGGCGUAACGAUUUGGGCACUGUCUCAACGAGAGACUCGGUGAAAUCAUAGUACCGGUGAAGAUGCCGGUUACCCGCGACAGGACGGAAAGACCCCGUGGAGCUUUACUGUAGCCUGAUAUUGAAAUUCGGUACAGUUUGUACAGGAUAGGUAGGAGCCUUAGAAGCGUGAGCGCUAGCUUACGUGGAGGCAUUGGUGGGAUACUACCCUAAUUGUAUUGGAUUUCUAACCCGCAGCACUUAUCGUGCUGGGAGACAGUGUCAGGCGGGCAGUUUGACUGGGGCGGUCGCCUCCUAAAGAGUAACGGAGGCGCUCAAAGGUUCCCUCAGAAUGGUUGGAAAUCAUUCAUAGAGUGUAAAGGCAUAAGGGAGCUUGACUGCGAGACCUACAAGUCGAGCAGGGUCGAAAGACGGACUUAGUGAUCCGGUGGUUCCGCAUGGAAGGGCCAUCGCUCAACGGAUAAAAGCUACCCCGGGGAUAACAGGCUUAUCUCCCCCAAGAGUUCACAUCGACGGGGAGGUUUGGCACCUCGAUGUCGGCUCAUCGCAUCCUGGGGCUGUAGUCGGUCCCAAGGGUUGGGCUGUUCGCCCAUUAAAGCGGUACGCGAGCUGGGUUCAGAACGUCGUGAGACAGUUCGGUCCCUAUCCGUCGUGGGCGUAGGAAAUUUGAGAGGAGCUGUCCUUAGUACGAGAGGACCGGGAUGGACAUACCUCUGGUGUACCAGUUGUCGUGCCAACGGCAUAGCUGGGUAGCUAUGUAUGGACGGGAUAAGUGCUGAAAGCAUCUAA
rnacentral:rRNA from 1 species